AGUAGGGAAUCUUCCGCAAUGGACGAAAGUCUGACGGAGCAACGCCGCGUGAGUGAUGAAGGUUUUCGGAUCGUAAAGCUCUGUUGUUAGGGAAGAACAAGUACCGUUCGAAUAGGGCGGUACCUUGACGGUACCUAACCAGAAAGCCACGGCUAACUACGUGCCAGCAGCCGCGGUAAUACGUAGGUGGCAAGCGUUGUCCGGAAUUAUUGGGCGUAAAGGGCUCGCAGGCGGUUUCUUAAGUCUGAUGUGAAAGCCCCCGGCUCAACCGGGGAGGGUCAUUGGAAACUGGGGAACUUGAGUGCAGAAGAGGAGAGUGGAAUUCCACGUGUAGCGGUGAAAUGCGUAGAGAUGUGGAGGAACACCAGUGGCGAAGGCGACUCUCUGGUCUGUAACUGACGCUGAGGAGCGAAAGCGUGGGGAGCGAACAGGAUUAGAUACCCUGGUAGUCCACGCCGUAAACGAUGAGUGCUAAGUGUUAGGGGGUUUCCGCCCCUUAGUGCUGCAGCUAACGCAUUAAGCACUCCGCCUGGGGAGUACGGUCGCAAGACUGAAAC
rnacentral:rRNA from 2 species